UGAAUCUUGUUGCAAGUGACGGGGUAAUAGAGAGUGAGGGAUGGUUAAGGGGGAUUACGUGGCGUAAGGGGAGUGUAGGGUGCAUAUUAAGUUACAUUGGAAAGCCACGGGGUUAACAGGCUAACUGCUGGUGAUGCUGGUGGUGAUAGAAGAUGUGAGAGGGAAGUAGAAUUCCAGGUGUAGCGGUGAAAUGCGUAGAGUUCUGGAGGAAUACCGAUGGCGAAGGCAGCGUCCUGGCAUAAUAUUGACACUGAGAUGCGAAUGCGUGGGUAGCAAACAGGAUUAUAUACCCUUGUAGUC
rnacentral:rRNA from 1 species